GAUCACUAUCCUUCAAUAUUAGAGUUGAUUUCAAUAUCAUUUUUGUGGGUCCCUGAUAUAACCCUGGCACAUUCUCAUGUUUCUCAGAUGCUAUGACAUGUCUAGGGAUCUAUUAAUUGUUUUCAACUUAUGGGUUGGAAAUCCAAGCUUCUUGUGCUCUAAGGUCUUUUGAAAUGAAGUACUUUCUGACUUCUGAGCUGUUGUUAGGCCCCAGUUGUCUUUGAAUAAUGGCCCCUCCAGAUGCAACCCAUUCUGAUAUAGCUUUCUUUCAUUUCCCUGUGGGCAUAGAGAUGGAGCCAUGGAGGGGUAGUGUCUGUGACUGUGAGUGGUUCUCAUUCAACACCUUCUAGUCUGUUUAAUGAGACGAGGACCACACCUCGAUCAUAUCAAGUUGUAUUAUAGCUAUGUAUCAUGCGUGAUAUCUUCUCGGUCGUCAAGGGUAUUUUUGUCAUUU